rnacentral:rRNA from 1 species
GAUGAACGCUGGCGGCGUGCCUAAUACAUGCAAGUCGAGCGAACGGACGAGAAGCUUGCUUCUCUGAUGUUAGCGGCGGACGGGUGAGUAACACGUGGAUAACCUACCUAUAAGACUGGGAUAACUUCGGGAAACCGGAGCUAAUACAGGAUAAUAUUUUGAACCGCAUGGUUCAAAAGUGAAAGACGGUCUUGCUGUCACUUAUAGAUGGAUCCGCGCUGCAUUAGCUAGUUGGUAAGGUAACGGCUUACCAAGGCAACGAUGCAUAGCCGACCUGAGAGGGUGAUCAGCCACACUGGAACUGAGACACGGUCCAGACUCCUACGGGAGGCAGCAGUAGGGAAUCUUCCGCAAUGGGCGAAAGCCUGACGGAGCAACGCCGCGUGAGUGAUGAAGGUCUUCGGAUCGUAAAACUCUGUUAUUAGGGAAGAACAUAUGUGUAAGUAACUGUGCACAUCUUGACGUUACCUAAUCAGAAAGCCACGGCUAACUACGUG